CCUACGGGAGGCAGCAGUAGGGAAUCUUCCACAAUGGGCGAAAGCCUGCUGGAGCAACGCCGCGUGGGUGAAGAAGGUCUUCGGAUCGUAAAACCCUGUUGUUAGAGAAGAAAGUGCGUGAGAGUAAAUGUUCACGUUUCGACGGUAUCUAACCAGCAAGCCACGGCUAACUACGUGCCAGCAGCCGCGGUAAUACGUAGGUGGCAAGCGUUAUCCGGAUUUUUUGGGCGUAAAGGGAACGCAGGCGGUCUUUUAAGUCUGAUGUGAAAGCCUUCGGCUUAACCGGAGUAUUGCAUUGGAAACUGGGAGACUUGAGGGCAGAAGAGGAGAGUGGAAUUCCAGGGGUAGCGGUGAAAUGCGUAGAUAUAAGGAAGAACACCAGUGGCGAAGGCGGCUCUCUGGUCUGUAACUGACGCUGAGGUUCGAAAGCGUGGGUAGCAAACAGGAUUAGAUACCCCAGUAGUC
rnacentral:rRNA from 1 species